ACGUAGGGGGCGAGCGUUGUUCGGAAUUACUGGGCGUAAAGGGCAUGUAGGCGGCUUGGUAAGCCUGGCGUGAAAGUCACCGGCUCAACCGGUGGAUUGCGUUGGGUACUGCUGAGCUUGAAUCACGGAGAGGGAGCUAGAAUUCCAGGUGUAGGGGUGAAAUCUGUAGAGAUCUGGAAGAAUACCAGUGGCGAAGGCGAGCUCCUGGCCGAUGAUUGACGCUGAGGUGCGAAAGUGUGGGGAUCAAACAG
rnacentral:rRNA from 1 species